UUUUCCGUGAUUGCAUUUGGUAAGCAGGUUGGGUCUCAUAGCAUUGUCCUUCCGGCAAUCCAAAUUCCAGUCGUUCCCUGGGAUCAUUCCUUGUUCCUUAUUAAAGUCCGGUUUGAAUCGAGUUGCUUUUCCGUCCUUUCUCUCUCUUCCGAUGGAGAACUCGAAAGAGAGCGGCGCCGGAGACAAGAUUGCCGACGAAAGCCCUAGCCCCAAUUCUCCGCCACCGGUAGAGGGGGAGGCCGAGCCUACCAUGGGGGCGGCGCCGCCGCCCGCGAGGCUGCCCUCCCGGAUGCCGUUCACCAGCCUCAGCCAGGUCGACGCCGACCUCGCCCUCGCCCGCGCACUCCAAGAACAGGAGCGGGCGUACAUGAUGCUGCGGAUGAACGGCGGCCAGGGCAGCGAUUUCGAGAGCUCCGACGCUGGGAGCUACGAGUAUGAGGACGGAGACGAUCCGGACCACCCGAUCGAUGAGGGGGGGAGCGCCGAGGGCAGCGAUUACGGCGAGGAUGCGUUCGAUGCCAACGAUCGGUCUGUCGAUCCUGCCGAAUUUGAGAGCGACGAGGCCUUUGCGAGGGCGCUGCAAGAUGCUGAGGAAGCAGAGGUGGCCGUCCGGUUGAUGGCCCUUGCCGGAUUGAAUGAUUGGGGUAUAGAGGACCACGGCGACCAUGGCAGUCACUCUCAGGAUGCUUGGGAAGAGGUUGAUCCAGAUGACUAUUCUUAUGAGGAACUAGUUGCAUUGGGGGAGGUAGUAGGAACUGAGAACAGAGGCCUCUCUGCUGACACAAUAGCCUCUCUGCCUUCAGUCAACUACGAGGCAGGAAGUGCACAAGAUGGCAACACUGAUCAAUGUGUUAUUUGUCGACUGGAGUAUGAGGAUGGUGAAUCUCUAGUUAUGCUUUCAUGCAAGCACACAUAUCAUUCUGAGUGUAUAAACAAGUGGCUUCAAAUAAACAAGAAACAAAAGAGAUGCGUCCUCUUGCUGCAAAAAGGCGAAAGCCAGCCACCGUAGCUUCCACCUGUAGCCCCAGAUGCUCUCUACCUCGCACCUCCAAUCUCUCUAACCUAACGCUUGAGGAAAAGUUGUUUCCUUCUUCUUGCCUCUUCUUUCUUUUGCAGAUCUUCUAUAGAAUGGGGCUUUUGCUGCUGAGGUGUUGGAGGGGAGCUAGCUUCACUACUAGCAAUGAUGGGGUUCUAGUGAGCAUGCUUGUAUGAUUAGUUAACAUCCUGAUAUUAAGCCUUUUGUUAUCAUCCCGAUAUUAAGCCUUUAGAAAGUGGUUGAAAAUUUGUGAAAUACAGCUAUAAAAAACUGGGAAAAUAUCAAAACUAAAAAUUAAAUAAGUAGAAGAUCAAAUUAGACAUUAUUUCAAAGUGAGAUUGUUUGGGACUUUUGGGUGUCCAAUAAUUUAGAUCUUUUAUUUUGUGAAGAAUUUACGUUUAAAGUGUAAUAUAGCAUUCUUGUGUUUGUUGCCGAUCUAGCAUAAUGCCUUAAGAAUUGAGUUUUAGGAAUAAACAAUCUUAUGCUUUAAAAAAAAAAAAAUCUUCUGGGUUGCAUUUCUUCUGAUUCCUUCUUAAAGCUUAUAAAAUUAAGUUUAAUGUGUAGAAGAUGCCUUCCUGAAAAUCAAUAUGUAAAGAAAGAGCCAGAAAUCAACAUGUGCCUCAUUUGGCCGCGUAAGCUUGCUUUGGCUGAAAGCCAAGCCUUAAUUUCUGUGCAGCUACAACCGAGACAAAUUUUUUUGUUUUGGUUUCUGUAUUUUUGGUGAUACUUGAAACUAUGGUCAAAGCAGAGGUUUAAAAUUCUAGGAGAUCUAUAUGUCCUGUUGCUUAGACAUUUCAUUGUUGCCUUGUCAUUUAAUUGACAACUUUAGGUGCCUGUUCUUGAUAUCUUAGAUUUGCUCUUUUAAGCCUUUAAGUGAUUUUCCAACUUUUGCGCUCAACUUACCCACUUCUUGUAUUUAAGGCUUUUAAUUUGGCUUCAGUCUCUUAUAUUUUGCUGUUUCAUAAGACAUUGGGUGCUCAAGAAGUCCAAUUGUAUGUGUUAUCUCCUGCUUUUCUUUGCCACUUUUUAUCGCACGAUGCUUAAACUUGCUACUUUGCUUUAUUGGUUGCCUUUUUUUGAACCUUGAUCCACAAAAGUCUAAGCUAUGUACCAUUUUUGUUGUCUUUGUGUUUGGUUGCACUGACCACAUGAUAACCCUCUAACCGCAUUUUUUUCUAAUUGCUUUUUGGAUACCAGAAUCUUCAGUAUUAUUGUCUUUGAUCUUAACUACCACUUAUUCAUUGCUUUAGCUUUUCUAGGAAUAUAACUUGGAAAUUUUAAUUUAUAAGGUUCCACGUGCCAACUCCUUUGGGACAUUUAAGCUUCGCAAAGAAGUCCUUGGUAUCCAAAAAUUAUGUGCUAUUUACUUAGGCUAGAUGUGUAUCGACUCUUCUGCAUGGCUUCUUGGAUUUUCUUGUCAUGAUACCAACUCUCGAAUAUUUUAAAUGCUAAAUAGUAUUGUAUUAACGUGUUUAGAAAUUUUAGUAUUACAUUAUAACCUUCUCUUUCUUUUCUGUUAUAUGGCUUGAACGACAUGUUUUCUAACAGUAAGUACCAUCAACCUUAGUGGAUGGAUAUUUGUAGCAGGAAACUACUGUCUACUGUAAUAUACUUGUUUCAGAAACUCCCUGCAAACUUGAACCCAUAUCUGCUUCCUAAGUGCCUUUCUGAAGUGUUUUUACAUUUUACAGUAUCCGCUUCCACACGUGCCCCUGAUUCUAGCAACUAAGGGUGGAAUUUUCUUUGUAGGAUUUUGCAUCUACACUGAAUUCUUGUUGCAAACUUGCUCUUACACUUGGUUCCUAAGUACUUCCACUAUAGUUAUUUAUUUAUUCUUGUUAACCUUUUCACCCCUAGAGAGAUCUAACUUCCCAGCACCCAACUCAAAUACUGCCCACUCCUGUUUCAUGUAUUCAAACCACUAACCAGACAAAAAGCUUUGUUUGUUAGCAAAUUUUGUUCCAUUAAAAAAUUAGUUUUUCAUUGUACAAAGUGUUCCCAUGUAAGUUUCUAACGUUCAUAGGAUGUUUUAGGAGAACCUGGACGCUUGUCACAUUGUAUUAUGCCUGUUUUGAACUUUAUGGUGAACAAUCUGCACAAGUCAAGUUUGCCAGAAUUUUAUUUUUAAGGGAAUUAUAAAUUAGUUUUGGUAUGUUGCUAACCAUGGUGGCUGAGAGUUAAUCAAAAGCUGCAAGUUUUUUUCCUUUUUCUUUUUUGUUUUAUUGAAAAGCUUGGGGAGUAUCAUCUGAAUGCAGAUUUACUGUACUGGAGACCUUCUAAGAAAUAAAUCUAUUUGGAUCUUUUCCAUUACUAUUUCACCCAAAAUCUAUGAUUUAUAUUGAGAACACUUAAAAAAAAAAAAAUCUGACAAUUGGGUUUUCAGGCACCACGUGUAUCCUUCGCCCACUUACUGUCUCCUUCCACCAUCUCACCUGAAAAUGUAAAAAAAAAUGAUGUCCAUUAUCUCACAACCACCGUUCUAGCCUUAACCUCCAGUUUUUUCCUCAAAAGCUUGAGCUUACCUUGUCAGUUCAAACAUAUCAUGAAUCGGAAUUACUAGUAGCAGAUGAGCACAAUUUCCCCUUCUGCCUAUAAUUAGAUCAUGAGAAGGUUCUUGCAGGAUACAUCUUCAAAAUUGUGGACUGUACAUGCUGAGAUAAUCAGAAUUGGGUAUGUCCAGUCUGCAGCACCGAGGUUUCUACCUCUGGAAAUCAGCAGGAAUGACACCUGAUAGAAGUUGCCAUUGCCUUAUUUGAAUGCUAUAACAAUACAGCUCCUCUGGGGGAGUAUUUGUCUGAAAUAUUCUAUCCAUCAGUACUCAUGGUCAAAUGGAGGAGUUAGAUGCUGUUAACUUAAAUGCAUAAAUUGCUAAAAUUGCACAACAUGCUCCAAUCCAUAAAUUCAUUACCUCGUCAAUUUAUUACACUUUUCUAGUC